CUUGCACCGGUGGGGUCCCUCAACCUGGCCUGCGGACAUCCCCUGAGGGGUCACAGCUUGUAAGAGGGCACAGGCCAGGCUGAGGGACUCCACCGGUGCACG
rfam:Myotis davidii contig187089, whole genome shotgun sequence.